GAUCCUGGCUCAGGAUGAACGCUGGCGGCGCGCCUAACACAUGCAAGUCGAACGGCACCUAUCUUCGGAUAGAAGCGAGUGGCGAACGGCUGAGUAACACGUGGAGAACCUGCCCCCCUCCCCCCGGGAUAGCCGCCCGAAAGGACGGGUAAUACCGGAUACCCCGGGGUGCCGCAUGGCACCCCCGGCCUAAAGCCCCGACCGGGAGGGGAGUGGCUCCGCGGCCCAUCAGGUAGACGGCGGGGUGGACGGCCCACCCGUGCCGACAACGGGUAGCCGGGUUG
rnacentral:rRNA from 1 species